rnacentral:snRNA from 1 species
AAAGAUAAAUGAUCUACUAUGAUGAAUGACAUUAGCGUGAACAAUCUCUGAUACAAAAUCGAAAGAUUUUAGGAUUAGAAAAACUUAUGUUGCCUUCCUUCUGAAAUUUAUUUUU